rnacentral:snRNA from 1 species
GUGCUCACUUCGGCAGCACAUAUACUAAAAUUGGAAUGAUAGGGAGAGGAUUACCAUGGCCCCUGUGCAAGAAUGACACAAAUUCACAAAUUCGUGAAGCGUUCCAUAUUUUU